rnacentral:rRNA from 1 species
GAUGAACGCUGGCGGCGUGCCUAAUACAUGCAAGUCGAGCGAACAGACGAGGAGCUUGCUCCUCUGACGUUAGCGGCGGACGGGUGAGUAACACGUGGAUAACCUACCUAUAAGACUGGGAUAACUUCGGGAAACCGGAGCUAAUACCGGAUAAUAUAUUGAACCGCAUGGUUCAAUAGUGAAAGACGGUUUUGCUGUCACUUAUAGAUGGAUCCGCGCCGCAUUAGCUAGUUGGUAAGGUAACGGCUUACCAAGGCAACGAUGCGUAGCCGACCUGAGAGGGUGGUGGGCCACCCAGGAAAUGGGACACGGUCCAACCCCCUGGGGGGGGCAGCGGUGGGGAAUCUUCCGCAAUGGGCGAAAGCCUGACGGGGCAACGCCGGGGGAGGGAUGAGGGUUUUCGGGUCGUAAAACUUUGUUUUUGGGGAAAAAAAAAUGUGUAAGUAACUAUGCACGUUUGAACGGUACCAAAUCAGAAAGCCCCGGCUAACUACGU